AUUUCAGACAUUUGUCAACACUUUUGUGUAAGACACUUGCAUUUAUUUACUAAUCUCAGUUUGACAUAUUUUCAUUAUAAACAUCACAUCACAUGCAUUUAUAAUAUUUCCUUUAGGGGUAUUUUGGCGCCUAAACGCUCAUAUGCAAUUAGUCAUUUAACUAUUGUUUUUGAUUUCAUUUUUAUGUAAAUUAUAGUAAAUUGUUUUUAAAUUUAAGUCAGUGGGAAAAUAAUCAUAUUUAUAAAUGUAUAUUCAUUUGUACAUUUCACAACUCGAAAAAUGACAAAUGUUCAGGAGGAGCAAAAAACAGUUCCUGUAAAAAUUAUUAAAAUUUUACAGUCAAAUCGUCUUGCAUAAUGAAGAAUAUCUUCUUUAAAGAGAUUCUUACUCAAAUAUGAUUGAUUUUCCAGUUCAACAACAACAAUUAACGAAAGUGACACAUUUCAAAUAAUACACAUGAUUAAACUCAGAAUUUGAAAAAUUUCGAGUUGUGACUGUUUUGUAGUUAAGUGUGCGCUAUGCAUGUUAUAAAGUAUAUGUAUGUACGUAGAUAUAUUUCAUUAUAAAUACAUAUAUUCCAAAGUGUAAUAAAUCAGAAUGUUGGAGACUUAAAAUUAGUGAGAUUACGCGGAUAUACCUUUUUCUCAAUUAAUUGGCUUCAUCGCAAUUAUUUACGCAAUAUAAAUGUACAAUAGACAUACAUAUGUAAAUCGUCAUGUCCUACAACCUCAACAAACUGCUGACUUAUCUGCUCUCACACAUUUGAUUGUGCAUUUAAUUGCUUUUUUAUAUUUAUAUUUUUUUUGUAGUAUGUAUAUGUACAUACAUAUAUAUAUACAUAUAUAUGCAAGAACAGUUGCGAAAAUGAGGCGCUUACCUAAUGAAUGCAUAAUUUCUCAAAAAUGUUGUGUCGAAAUUCCAAGUCGAUUGGAGCAAAAUUUACGAAAUUUCAUCUUCUCUUAUGAACGUUUCACAAGUUUUUUUUUCAAAACUUCAGCACCGAUCGAUUUAAACACUAUUUCAUAAUUUACGAAGUAACGCUGGAGAGCUUCAUUUGUCAAUAUUUUUCAUUAUCGCUUUAUUUCCUGUGUACCCAAAAAAUGAUCCUGUACCAAAAUAUGAGAGGCACCGCAAUUCAACUUUUUUCCGAGACGCUCCAGUGUAAUUGCUGCAUUUAACUUUCUCCAUGAAAAUUUAACAGAAUAUUCUUCAGAUGUCAUACUAUAAUGUACCAUUGGUUUCUAAAAAUAGAUUUUAACUGUUUCAUAAAAAGUAAUUAAAGAAAUUAUAAAAAUGGGCCAUUGUUGACGGUUUAUUAACCGAUUUAAAGCAGGUUAUAAAAUAAGGUUGUUAUAAAAAAGUAAAAA